CGAAAAUGUAACGGGGCUCAAGUGAUGCACCGAAGCUUAGGGUGUGAUCGUUUACGAUCACGCGGUAGCGGAGCGUUCCGUAAGCGGAUGAAGCGUAAGGGUAACCGAACGUGGACGUAUCGGAAGUGCGAAUGCUGACAUGAGUAGCGACAAAGAGUGUGAGAAACACUCUCGCCGUAAGUCCAAGGGUUCCUGCGCAAGGCUAAUCCGCGCAGGGUGAGCCGGCCCCUAAG
rnacentral:rRNA from 1 species